AACGCUGGCGGCGUGCUUAACACAUGCAAGUCGAACGGGAGUACCAAAGAAGCUUGCGGGAUGGGUACUUUAGGGGCGGAUGGGUGAGUAACGCGUGAGGAUCUGUCCUAUGCAGGGGGACAGCAGUUGGAAACGGCUGCUAAUACCCCAUAACCCGAGAGGUAAAAGGAUUUAUCCGGCAAAGGAGUACUCGCGUCCUAUCACUAGUAGGUUGGGUAACGGCCGACCUAGGCAAAGACGGGUAGCCGGCCUGAGAGGGCGAACGGCCACACUGGAACUGAGAUACGGUCCAAACUCCUCGGGGAGGCAGCAGUGGGGAAUAUUGGGCAAUGGGGGCCCCCCGGACCC
rnacentral:rRNA from 1 species